rnacentral:lncRNA from 1 species
UUCCUGGGAGAAGGUGCUGAACUCAAGGCCUCACUGAUAACAGCUCUGCACUUUGGCCUGGAGCCUGCUCAGGCCAGCGUCACCAUAGCAACUGGGGCAUCUAGACCUGUGCCUUUGUGCAGACAGCUCCCAGGGCAAACUUAGCCAGGACAGCGUCAGAAGCCAGGAUUUUAUUCAUAUCACUGCUCUGCACACAGGAGGGUCCCAGCAGCAGUUCAGACUGCAGAGGAAAAUCUUGUUUGGUGUGGCGGUGGGAAUCCACAUGGAGGUGUGGGAUCAAGAAGCCAGAAAAGGCUCCCAGACUCUUCUGUGUUGGCCAUGCACUGCCCCCAUCAUGGCCCUCCUCCCUGAAGCUCUGGGAAGGUGGCACCUGUCAAGGCCAAUGAGGCUGAAGCCUGGCCCCAGCCCAAGAAGGAGGUGGCUUCAGUGGGGAGGCCUGAGAUUCCUCAGGAACAGAGCCCUUGGGACCAUCAAGGGCCACAUGGCAAAGGGGCUAGAGUCUCUCACCAGUCUUCCUAGCCCUAGGUCACUGAUCUUGCCCUUCAAAACAACCACCCCUGGGUACAACAGAGUCCCGGUGCUACAGAAGGAGUACCUUCCCAGGGCAUUUUUGCCUUAUUUUGUUACUUUUAGAAUUGUUAUCUAUUUAACGGAUGGAGUGGGAGUGAAGAUGCUUUCAUUACAAAAGUAACAUGUUCUUUGGGAAAGAGUCAGAAAAUAAAGCACAAAGAAAGUAAAUCAUACAGAAGGUCCUCCCUGCACAAGCAUAUCUUGAGAUAAUUCUUUCAAUGUCUCUUCAGCAAGUGCAACUCCUUAGGUCUGAAUAGCAUGCCUGCCUGGCUAUGUGACAUGGGACAAAUCACUUAACUUCUCUGUGCCUCUUUGUACCUCAGUUUCUUCAUAUGUAAAUGAGAGAUGAAAACCACAGUAUCUAUUUCAAAGAGUUGUGAGCUUUUGCUAUAAAGCACUUAGAUAGGUGCCUGUCACAGAAGUGUUGAACAAAUACUUAGUUCACAUGGUUUAUAUUUUCCUCAGUAUAGUUUUUUUUUUUUUUUUUUUGGUUUUUUUGUUUGUUUGUUUGUUUACAAAAUUGAAUUUUGCUAUUUUGUAACAAUCUUUUUUUUUUUCUUCACCCACCUUGCUGAGAAGCUGCUUUCUUCGUUUCAUACCAGGAAGCAGCCAGGAAAGUGACCUUCUCUGUUCCUCCAUCUUGAACCAAUUGAUUUUGUAACAAUCUUUUUUCACAUUAUAUUAUAUCAUGAACAUUUUCUAUGUUAGGUUUAUGUAAUGUUUAUUGCAACGUUUUCUGCUUAGAUUUAUAUUAUUACAGAUUUUACUGAGAUUGUUUUUAUGUCUCAGUUUAUGUGACUUCAGUUUCCUUAUUUAUUUGUUUAUGU